rnacentral:rRNA from 1 species
UACAGUGGCGUACGGGUGAGUAACACGUGACUACCUACCUUCGAGUGGGGGGAUAACUCCGGGAAACCGGAGCUAAUACCGCAUAACAUCGAGAGAUAAAAGAAGCAAUUCGCUGGAAGAGGGGGUCGCGGCUGAUUAGCUAGUUGGCGGGGUAAUGGCCCACCAAGGCGAUGAUCGGUAGCCGGCCUGAGAGGGCGCACGGCCACACUGGAACUGAAACACGGUCCAG